UACGUAGGGGGCUAGCGUUGUCCGGAUUUAUUGGGCGUAAAGCGCGCGUAGGCGGCCCGGUAAGUCCGCUGUGAAAGUCAAAGGCUCAACCCUUUGAAUGUCAGCGGAUACUGCCGGGCUAGAGUCCGGAAGAGGCGAGUGGGAACUCCUGGUGUAGCGGUGGAAUGCGCAGAUAUCAGGAAGAACACCAACGGCGAAGGCAGCUCGCUGGGACGGAACUGACGCUAAGGCGCGAAAGCGUGGGGAGCGAACAGG
rnacentral:rRNA from 1 species